CCUACGGGAGGCAGCAGUGGGGAAUAUUGGGCAAUGGAGGAAACUCUGACCCAGCGACGCCGCGUGCGGGAUGAAGGCCUUCGGGUUGUAAACCGCUUUCAGUAGGGAAGAAGCGAAAGUGACGGUACCUACAGAAGAAGCACCGGCUAACUAUGUGCCAGCAGCCGCGGUAAUACAUAGGGUGCAAGCGUUGUCCGGAAUUAUUGGGCGUAAAGAGCUCGUAGGUGGUUCGUCACGUCGGAUGUGAAAAUCUGGGGCUCAACCCCAGACCUGCAUUCGAUACGGGCGAUCUAGAGUGUGGUAGGGGAGACUGGAAUUCCUGGUGUAGCGGUGGAAUGCGCAGAUAUCAGGAGGAACACCAAUGGCGAAGGCAGGUCUCUGGGCCAUUACUGACACUGAGGAGCGAAAGCGUGGGGAGCGAACAGGAUUAGAUACCCUGGUAGUCCACGCCGUAAACGGUGGGCACUAGUUGUGGGAACCUUCCACGGUUUCUGCGACGCAGCUAACGCAUUAAGUGCCCCGCCUGGGGAGUACGAUCGCAAGAUUAAAACUCAAAUAGAAGUAGACGACGAGAGAGCGACGACGACGACGACGGAGGAGGAG
rnacentral:rRNA from 1 species